ACGAACGCUGGCGGCGUGCCUAAUACAUGCAAGUAGAACGCUGAAGAGAGGAGCUUGCUCUUCUUGGAUGAGUUGCGAACGGGUGAGUAACGCGUAGGUAACCUGCCUUGUAGUGGGGGAUAACUAUUGGAAACGAUAGCUAAUACCGCAUAACAAUGGAUGACACAUGUCAUUUAUUUGAAAGGGGCAAUUGCUCCACUACAAGAUGGACCUGCGUUGUAUUAGCUAGUAGGUGAGGUAAUGGCUCACCUAGGCGACGAUACAUAGCCGACCUGAGAGGGUGAUCGGCCACACUGGGACUGAGACACGGCCCAGACUCCUACGGGAGGCAGCAGUAGGGAAUCUUCGGCAAUGGGGGCAACCCUGACCGAGCAACGCCGCAUGAGGGAGGAAGGUUUUCGGAUCGUAAAGCUCUGUUGUAAGUCAAGAACGGGUGUGAGAGUGGAAAGUUCACACUGUGACGGUAGCUUACCAGAAAGGGACGGCUAACUACGUG
rnacentral:rRNA from 1 species